rnacentral:rRNA from 1 species
GAUGAACGCUGGCGGCGUGCCUAAUACAUGCAAGUCGAGCGAAUGGAUUAAGAGCUUGCUCUUAUGAAGUUAGCAGCGGACGGGUGAGUAACACGUGGGUAACCUGCCCAUAAGACUGGGAUAACUCCGGGAAACCGGGGCAAAUACCGGAUAACAUUUUGAACCGCAUGGUUCGAAAUUGAAAGGAGGCUUCGGCUGUCACUUAUGGAUGAACCCGCGUGGCAUUAGCUAGUUGGUGAGGUAACGGCUCACCAAGGCAACGAUGCGUAGCCGACCUGAGAGGGUGAUCGGCCACACUGGGACUGAGACACGGCCCAGACUCCUACGGGAGGCAGCAGUAGGGAAUCUUCCGCAAUGGACGAAAGUCUGACGGAGCAACGCCGCGUGAGUGAUGAAGGCUUUCGGGUCGUAAAACUCUGUUGUUAGGGAAGAACAAGUGCUAGUUGAAUAAGCUGGCACCUUGACGGUACCUAACCAGAAAGCCACGGCUAACUACGUGCCAGCCGCCGCAGUAA